rnacentral:rRNA from 1 species
UACGUAGGGUGCGAGCGUUGUCCGGAAUUAUUGGGCGUAAAGCGCUUGUAGGCGGUUUGUCGCGUCUGCUGUGAAAUUUCGGGGCUCAACCCCGAACUUGCAGUGGGUACGGGCAGACUAGAGUGUGGUAGGGGAGACUGGAAUUCCUGGUGUAGCGGUGAAAUGCGCAGAUAUCAGGAGGAACACCGAUGGCGAAGGCAGGUCUCUGGGCCACUACUGACGCUGAGAAGCGAAAGCAUGGGGAGCGAACAGG